rnacentral:rRNA from 1 species
CCUACGGGUGACUGCAGUGAGGAAUAUUGGUCAAUGGACGAGAGUCUGAACCAGCCAAGUAGCGUGAAGGAUGACUGCCCUAUGGGUUGUAAACUUCUUUUAUAUGGGAAUAAAACGUUCCACGUGUGGGAUUUUGUAUGUACCAUAUGAAUAAGGAUCGGCUAACUCCGUGCCAGCAGCCGCGGUAAUACGGAGGAUCCGAGCGUUAGCCGGAUUUAUUGGGUUUAAAGGGAGCGUAGGUGGAUUGUUAAGUCAGUUGUGAAAGUUUGCGGCUCAACCGUAAAAUUGCAGUUGAAACUGGCAGUCUUGAGUACAGUAGAGGUGGGCGGAAUUCGUGGUGUAGCGGUGAAAUGCUUAGAUAUCACGAAGAACUCCGAUUGCGAAGGCAGUUCACUGGACUGCAACUGACACUGAGGCUCGAAAGUGUGGGUAUCAAACAGGAUUAGAUACCCUAGUAGUC